UUAGAGUUUGAUCAUGGCUCAGGAUGAACGCUGGCGGCGUGCCUAACACAUGCAAGUCGAGCGUGAAGCCCGUAAUUGAGAUUUCGGUCAAGAGAGCGGGUGGAAAGCGGCGGACGGGUGAGUAACGCGUAGGCAACCUACCCCACACUGAGGGAUAGCCACUGGAAACGGUGAUCAAUACCUCAUAACGCAAAGGACCCUCAUGGGCUCUUUGCCAAAGAUUUAUCGGUAUGGGAUGGGCCUGCGUCUGAUUAGCUGGUUGGUGAGGUAACGGCUCACCAAGGCAACGAUCAGUAGCCGACCUGAGAGGGUAAUCGGCCACAUUGGAACUGAGACACGGUCCAAACUCCUACGGGAGGCAGCAGUGGGGAAUAUUGCACAAUGGGCGCAAGCCUGAUGCAGCAACGCCGCGUGAGCGAAGAAGGCCUUUGGGUCGUAAAGCUCUGUCCUUGGGGAAGAAAAAAAUGACGGUACCCUUGGAGGAAGCCCCGGCUAACUACGUGCCAGCAGCCGCGGUAAUACGUAGGGGCAAGCGUUAUCCGGAAUUCAUUGGGCCGUAAAAGAGUGCGUA
rnacentral:rRNA from 2 species